GAGGGAGCCGUAGAGCAGGGAGCAGGGAGCUGUGUGUGUCCAGCCCUGACCUGUUCUGUUCUGCCCCCAGCCCCCC
rnacentral:miRNA from 1 species